rnacentral:rRNA from 1 species
CGAAACCGAGUGAUCUAGCCAUGGGCAGGUUGAAGGUUGAGUAACAUCAACUGGAGGACCGAACCGACUAAUGUUGAAAAAUUAGCGGAUGACUUGUGGCUAGGGGUGAAAGGCCAAUCAAACUCGGAGAUAGCUGGUUCUCCCCGAAAGCUAUUUAGGUAGCGCCUCGGACGAAUACUACUGGGGGUAGAGCACUGUUAAGGCUAGGGGGUCAUCCCGACUUACCAACCCUUUGCAAACUCCGAAUACCAGUAAGUACUAUCCGGGAGACACACGGCGGGUGCUAACGUCCGUCGUGGAGAGGGAAACAACCCAGACCGCCAGCUAAGGUCCCAAAUUACAGCUAAGUGGGAAACGAUGUGGGAAGGCUUAGACAGCUAGGAUGUUGGCUUAGAAGCAGCCAUCAUUUAAAGAAAGCGUAAUAGCUCACUAGUCGAGUCGGCCUGCGCGGAAGAUGUAACGGGGCUAAGUUGUAAACCGAAGCUGCGGCAAUGUUCUUUGAACAUUGGGUAGGGGAGCGUUCUGUAAGCCGUUGAAGGUGUGUUGUAAAGCAUGCUGGAGGUAUCAGAAGUGCGAAUGCUGACAUGAGUAACGACAAGGGGGGUGAAAAACCUCCCCGCCGGAAGACCAAGGGUUCCUGUCCAACGUUAAUCGGGGCAGGGUAAGUCGACCCCUAAGGCGAGGCCGAAAGGCGUAGUCGAUGGGAAACGGGUUAAUAUUCCCGUACUUCUUACAAUUGCGAUGGGGGGACGGAGAAGGCUAGGUGGGCCUGGCGACGGUUGUCCAGGUUCAAGUGCGUAGGCUGAGUGUUUAGGUAAAUCCGGACACUCUUAAGGCUGAGACACGACGUCGAGCUACUACGGUAGUGAAGUCAUUGAUGCCAUGCUUCCAGGAAAAGCCUCUAAGCUUCAGAUUGUAAGGAAUCGUACCCCAAACCGACACAGGUGGUCGGGUAGAGAAUACCAAGGCGCUUGAGAGAACUCGGGUGAAGGAACUAGGCAAAAUGGUACCGUAACUUCGGGAGAAGGUACGCUCUUGAUGGUGAAGUCCCUUGCGGAUGGAGCUGACGAGAGUCGCAGAUACCAGGUGGCUGCAACUGUUUAUUAAAAACACAGCACUGUGCAAAAUCGUAAGAUGACGUAUACGGUGUGACGCCUGCCCGGUGCCGGAAGGUUAAUUGAUGGGGUUAGCGUAAGCGAAGCUCUUGAUCGAAGCCCCGGUAAACGGCGGCCGUAACUAUAACGGUCCUAAGGUAGCGAAAUUCCUUGUCGGGUAAGUUCCGACCUGCACGAAUGGCGUAAUGAUGGCCACGCUGUCUCCACCCGAGACUCAGUGAAAUUGAAAUCGCUGUGAAGAUGCAGUGUACCCGCGGCUAGACGGAAAGACCCCGUGAACCUUUACUACAGCUUGGCACUGAACAUUGAACCUACAUGUGUAGGAUAGGUGGGAGGCUUUGAAGACGUGACGCCAGUUGCGUUGGAGCCGUCCUUGAAAUACCACCCUUGUAUGUUUGAUGUUCUAACGUUGGCCCCUAAUCGGGGUUGCGGACAGUGCCUGGUGGGUAGUUUGACUGGGGCGGUCUCCUCCCAAAGAGUAACGGAGGAGCACGAAGGUGGGCUAAUCACGGUUGGACAUCGUGAGGUUAGUGCAAUGGCAUAAGCCCGCUUAACUGCGAGAAUGACGGUUCGAGCAGGUGCGAAAGCAGGUCAUAGUGAUCCGGUGGUUCUGAAUGGAAGGGCCAUCGCUCAACGGAUAAAAGGUACUCCGGGGAUAACAGGCUGAUACCGCCCAAGAGUUCAUAUCGACGGCGGUGUUUGGCACCUCGAUGUCGGCUCAUCACAUCCUGGGGCUGAAGUCGGUCCCAAGGGUAUGGCUGUUCGCCAUUUAAAGUGGUACGCGAGCUGGGUUUAGAACGUCGUGAGACAGUUCGGUCCCUAUCUGCCGUGGGCGUUGGAAGAUUGAAGGGGGCUGCUCCUAGUACGAGAGGACCGGAGUGGACGAACCUCUGGUGUUCGGGUUGUGUCGCCAGACGCAUUGCCCGGUAGCUAAGUUCGGAAUCGAUAACCGCUGAAAGCAUCUAAGCGGGAAGCGAGCCCUGAGAUGAGUCUUCCCUGAUACUUUAAGUAUCCUGAAGGGUUGUUCGAGACUAGAACGUUGAUAGGCAGGGUGUGUAAGCGCUGUGAGGCGUUGAGCUAACCUGUACUAAUUGCCCGUGAGGCUUAACCAU